rnacentral:rRNA from 1 species
UACAGAGGGUGCAAGCGUUGCUCGGAAUCAUUGGGCGUAAAGGGCAAGUAGGUGGUCUCAUUUGUCUAGGGUGAAAUCCUUGAGCUUAACUCAAGAAGUGCCCUAGAAACGGUGAGACUCGAGUACUGGAGAGGGUCGUGGAAUUCCCGGUGUAGCGGUGAAAUGCGUAGAGAUCGGGAGGAACACCAGAGGCGAAGGCGGCGACCUGGACAGUUACUGACACUCAACUGCGAAAGCGUGGGGAGCAAACA